UACAGAGGUCUCAAGCGUUGUUCGGAUUCAUUGGGCGUAAAGGGUGCGCAGGCGGCCAAGUGUGUGAGGCGUGAAAGCCCGGGGCUCAACCCCGGAAGCGCACUCGAUACUGCCGAACUAGGGUCCUGAAGAGGAGAGCGGAAUUCCCGGUGUAGAGGUGAAAUUCGUAGAUAUCGGGAGGAACACCAGUGGCGAAGGCGGCUCUCUGGGCAGGUACCGACGCUGAGACGCGAAAGCGUGGGAAGCAAACAGG
rnacentral:rRNA from 1 species